UGGUAUUUUUUCGAAGUCCACUUAAGUGAUGGUAUUAUAGCGAAACCAAUCUUUUGUGAUGGUAGAUAUGCAAUUUUCUCCCUCGCCUGGUAUCGCUGCUGCUCUGGUUGUCUCUCGUCCUGAGUCUCCGACUGAGCGCCUCCAAUCUCAACAGCCACCUCCCACCUGUUCCGGCUCCGGCUAGACCUCGCCGCCGGCGAUCCCCAGCCUCAGCGCAUCCAACCGACGGAAGAACACAAGGCGCCGCACCGCACCGCAGCGAUGACGCUGAUCACCCUCAUCCGCGACUACAUCGAUCGCAUGCUCCACGACAUCCCCGGGAUGAAGGUCCUCGUCCUCGACCCCGAUACCGUGGGGAUGGUAAGCGUGGUGUACAGCCAGUCAGAUCUCCUCCGGAAGGAGGUGUUCCUCGUGGAGACGGUCGACAACGCCUCCAGCUCCAGGGAGUCCAUGGCGCACCUCAAGGCCGUCUACUUCCUCCGCCCCUCCUCCGAUAACGUCCAGAAGCUCCGCCGGCAUCUCGCCGCCCCGCGUUUCGCCGAGUACCACCUCUUCUUCUCCAAUGUAUUGAAGAUUCCACAGAUUCAGGUGCUCGCAGAUUCCGAUGAGCAGGAGGUUGUGCAGCAAGUUCAGGAGUUCUAUGCUGAUUUUUGUGCCAUCGACCCUUACCAUUUCACGCUGAACAUACGCAAUAACCACGUCUACAUGCUUCCAAUGGUGGUGGAUCCUCCUGGUAUGCAGAGUUUCUGUGAUCGGGCUGUUGAUGGCAUUGCUUCUGUCUUCCUGGCUCUCAAGCGCCGUCCUGUUAUUAGAUACCAAAGGACAUCUGAUGUUGCAAAAAGGAUUGCACAAGAAACUGCGAGAUUGAUGUAUGAGCAGGAAAGUGGCUUGUUUGAUUUUAGACGAACUGAGAACUCUUCCUUGUUGCUGGUGAUUGACAGAAGGGAUGAUCCUGUUACCCCGUUACUUAACCAAUGGACAUAUCAGGCAAUGGUUCAUGAACUUAUUGGAAUUGAGAACAAUAAAGUUGAUCUAAGGGAAUAUCCUAAUGUCCCUAAAGACCAGAAGGAGGUGGUUCUAUCAUCAGUUCAGGAUGAAUUUUUUAGGGCUAACAUGUUCGAGAAUUUUGGUGAUCUUGGUAUGAAUAUCAAAAGAAUGGUAGAUGACUUUCAACAUCUUUCGAAGACCAGCCAGAAUAUUCAGAGCAUAAGUGAUAUGUCAAAAUUUCUGAGCAACUACCCUGAAUAUCGGAAGACUCAUGGAAAUGUAACGAAGCAUGUUGCUUUGGUCAGUGAGAUGAGCAGAAUUGUGGAGGAAAGGAAGAUUAUGCUAAUUUCCCAGACGGAGCAAGAGUUAGCAUGUACAAGUGGACAAGCAGCUGCUUUCGAGGCUGUCACUUCCUUGCUAAACAAUGAAAGUGUGUCUGAUAUUGAUCGUUUACGGUUAGUAUUGCUCUAUGCUUUGAGGUAUGAAAAGGAGAGUCCGGUUCAGUUGAUGCAGCUUUUCAAUAAAUUGGCUUCUCGUUCUGCUAAAUACAAGUCAGGGCUGGUUCAAUUCCUCCUCAAACAGGCUGGUGUUGAUAAGAGAACAGGUGACUUAUAUGGGAACCGUGAUCUAUUAAAUAUUGCUCGCAACAUGGCUCGUGGACUCAAGGGCGUUGAGAAUGUAUACACCCAACAUCAGCCUCUUCUCUUUCAGACCAUGGAAGGAAUUGUAAAGGCACGAUUACGAGAUGCUGAUUAUCCGCUUGUUGGCAAUCAUUUCCAGCAGAACAGCAUGGUUUACUUCUAAAUGUGGAGUAAUUUUUAGGAGUACUGGCUGAUUGAUACUCUCCUCACAGGCCUCAAGAUGUUGUGCUGUUCAUUGUUGGAGGGACGACUUACGAGGAAGCAAGAUCAGUAGCCCUUUACAAUGCAGCAAAUCCUGGAGUUCGGUUCUUUCUUGGUGGUUCAGUGGUUCUAAAUUCAAAGAGAUUUCUUGAUGACUUAGGAGAGGCACAGAGAAUAUCGAAAUCGAGCAGUCUAGUAUGAGCAGGCUCUUAGCUUCUACAGCUUGAAACUUGGCAGUCUGACAAUUGAAACUUGUGGUGUUUUUGCAUAGAGAAUCAACUUCGUGGUAAAUUUUGUAAUGCACAGCUUUAGAUUCAUAGUGCAACACACCAUACGGAAUAAAAUUGUUCACAGUUCACCUAAAAACACAUUUUUUGUGGUUUGCAAUUAUUGCUGCAUAUAGGGCGCUCCGGGUGAAAUUAAUAUUUAACGCAGUUUAGUUCAAUGUCCUGGGAGAAUCAACAUUCAAGUCGCGCAUUUUGUUGAUAUUUUGUCAAAUUUUAGCA